UAUAUCGCCUGUAUAUCUAGGUCACGGUAACAGUUCCGAUGUCGUCUGUUGUCAACGUGUGUAAACAACUUCCAAGUUACAGCUCAUCGCUCAGAAGAAAGGAAGGUUUAUCAUAAAGGAUAAAUGCAUGCGUUCUUUAAAAAUAAAGAAUAUGAAUAGCUUCAGCCUGAAAGUUCACACAGUCUUAAAUGAUUCUCAACUUAUAAUAUCAUAUGAUAUAAGUUUUUGAGAGUUGGAGAAAUUCGGCGUCCGAUCACAGACAGUGAUGUUUCGUUUGACGGAACCUGGAAAGAAGGUCGACGGCUAGCUCUGAUGAUCACCUAGCGCAGAAUAUUUUCGUUAAGAUGCAAAACUGUCCCCUGCGGAUACUGUCUGUGAACGGAAAUACGACCUUCAAGGCUUGGACCAGGAGGUGGAGGCCGUGGAGUCCAUACCAUAUCGUUGUAGCUGCAGUGCAUGUAACCUGCAUAUAAUGUGUGACAGUGUAGAAACGAGGGGGAAAAUGGGACUGGUGGAUUUGUUAUCAAUUCAAAAGCUGGACAUGGUAAGAGAGUUCAAUUUUCUCUUUAUUAUAUAUUCUCUUUAGACUUUACACAUUUUACUGGUUGGAGAAGGUGUAUGGUUUCAUGUCUUGAAUAAAUGAACCUGCCCCACACCUCUCUUUUUCUUUCUUUAAUUCCCCUCUAUUAUGGUCUGGGGUUUAUGUGGUUUGAGGGUAAAAAGCUUUAUUUUGAGGGGAAGUGCUGCCCAAAUUUUUUAUGAAGCUGGACUUAGUAAUUUUUCUGGAAUUUUGCCCCUGGAAGUUAUUUAUCAUUUUUGCAAUGUACACAAAGACAUCUAUACAUAAGGGGCUUUUUAGUUUUGCAUCCAAAAGGAGAGGAUUAUUUUGUAAAUACUUAUUUGGUAGCAAUUAUAUAACCAUAAAUAAAAUUAGAAUUGAAAAGUAAACAAUUGCAGUCACAAUGAUUCAUUCACAAAAAUAAUGUUUUACAAACUCAAAAUAUUAGUUUUCUUUUAUUUUAUAAUCAGAAUUUUCAUAUUAAGUCAUCUUUUGCAUGUGAUCAGAGACCAAGUGGUCGGAAACCUUACAUAUUUAGUCAUUUAGAAUGAUGUGUAGAAUGCAGGAUAAUGCAUGAAGGCAAAAAAGAAAAUUAAGAAGGGGGGCACCCACCCUCAUUCCACAUUAUUAGAAAUAAAUGUGAGUCUGUGAUCUAUAAGAAUAAAGGAACAUGAAUUCACAAUCAUAUUAUAUAAAUAUAAAUUGAAAAAAUCAAUUGUAUAUUCCAAAUAAAAUUAUGAACUCAAGUCUACAUAGUUUAUAGUUUAUCUAAUUAACCAAUACAUGUGCAGACUGACAUUUCAUAUCAUAUUUUUCAGGAAUGAUACAUGCAGGAAUUUGUGCCACACAUUUCAACAAUUUCCUUAAUGGAUUGAAUGUACUGUCUGUGAAUUCAUCAGCCAUACUUAAAGAAAAAGGAGAAUUAAACUGGAAAGAAAAUAUUUGCAGUUGCAAAAGAAUCCUGUAAAUAAAUUCAAAAGAAGAAACAGUUUUAAACAUGGUUAAUUUAAUGAAUAAUUGGAAGGUAAUUAAACCUUUAGUCAUAUAAUUCAUAAAUUUUCCUAAGUAGAUAUAAAGUAUAAUGAGGACCAUAAUUAUAUUCAUAUUUGCACUUAAUCAGUCAUAAAAAUGAAUUAACAGAUCUUGGUAAUAAUUUCAAGUUUAGGGUCAAUAUUUCAAAUCAAUUUUGUGGUAAAGCAUUGUUAUAUAUACUUGAAAGACUUUCAUGUAUAGAACAUGACAGAAUUUGUUUCAACAAAAAUAUUGAACUAGAAUUAGUUACAUAUGUAUAAUUUAUUAAAUGAAAUCUAUAUUAAUGUAUAAUUUCAACAAAUUUAAUGAAACCUAUUUGGUUUUGAAAGCCUUUAUACAUAUUAUUAUUACAAAUUUCAUUGUUAACAGCCUGAGUUUCCAGUUAAUUUUAAAUGUAAUAUGUUUUAGCUAUAGUAUUUGAACACUGCAUGCACUUUCAUUUAUAUAUAUUUGUUAUCACUUUUUUUCAUUAGGUUGAAGCUAGUUAUUGUUGCAGAAUUGCAAAUGUUUGGUACUGGUUGAAACUAUGAAAGUAAUACAGGUAAAUUUAAAGAAUUUAUACUUUAACUUUAUUAAUAGAAAAGAUAUUCCCAAAUGUCAAGGUGAAAGUGGACAUUGUAGAUUCUAAACACCCAUGUGAAAGCAACAGUCUUCUAUGGUGAGAGGAUGCCAUACUUAGCAAUGCUCUUGUUAUUAUAUGGAAUAUGGCUUUUUUUAUCAUUAUUUUCACUAUUUUGAUAUUGAACAACCAACAUUGAUAAAAAGUAAUAUAAAACUCUCACUUUUUAUGAAUCCUAUAUUAUCUGAUUAUAUUAAUUUACUUAUUUAAUUUUUGUUAUAUUUGUUAUCAAUUGUAGGUCUCAUGGUCAUCAUUUAACAGCAGGUUAUUAGCAGCAGUUUUGUAGAAAAAUGAAGGAUGACUGUCAAUGGUAAAUACAUACAUUUUAGGAUAAUUACAUGUAGUUACCUUUGAAAAAAAACUUGAGACUUUUUAAUCUGAUAAUGGUGUUUUGCAGGCAUUUAUAACAUUUCUUUUUGGACAAUAUAUUUAGUAGACUCAACUAUAAAAUGUAGGAUCAUGUAAACUUGUACACAGAUGUCACUGACCUACAUUUUCCACUUCACUGACUUUGGUUACAUUAAACAUCCAAUUUCAUAUACAACAAAUGUAUAUCUCAGCAACUAAAAGGUGUCAGAUCAUGCAAACUUAUAUAUACACUCUCAGAGUCUCAGUAAGUAACUCAGCUUCCAGGCAAAAGAAGGUCACAGUGAUCCACAUUUUACACUCUAUUGAUUUGUACUUUAUUUUAUAAUUUAAAUACAAAGUAUAUUAUCAAGACUGCCACUGGUUCUUAUGUGCCACAAUUCUGACAAUGAAGAUAACUAUGUGAUGUAGAUAACUUAUGUUUAUUUCAAACUUGGUCACAUGCUGUAUAUGUAAUGUAAAUUUUUACCAAAAGAACAACAGUUCAACUGUUUUGAUUUAAGGUACACAUAUAUGGUAAAGGUCACACCUAUUAAAUAUACAUGUAUACCUUGAAUUUAUUUGCAUUGGACCCUAUAAUGCUCCCUAUAUCAUUUAUAUUGUCAAUUAUUGCAUUCCAAAUUGCCAUUGUUCACAAAACAAAAACCACUAAAAAGGAUGGCCAUCAUAUGCAAAAGCAAUAUAAAAAUGCAUACCCAUCAGCUGACCUAAUUAUUGCAAUCACUUCAAAAACCUGGCCAUAUAUCAUAUUAUAAAACUCUUAAUGAGUACCUUUGUUAGUCAGGUAUAAUAUAAUCUUUUUAAAUUGAUGUUGUAAUGCAUGAUUGGAUUAAUUUUGCACUCACUGAAAUAUUUAUAUAGAUUUAGUAGUUUAUUAGUAUAUAUUACACCUUUUCAUUACAAAUAAAUAAAUUAAACUUUCAGGUAAAUGCAGCAACAGAAUGUUCCCCUGGAAAAUUUACGUAGAAAAUUUGGGAAAGUAUGAAUAAGAAAUUAGAGAGGCAAACAGAUAACCAGAAAACAAAGAUUUUGAAAAGAAAAGAAUUGCCACUAAUAGUAAUAUGCUAUAUCUGACUGGGAGCAACAUGUACUAUUCAAUAUGGAAGGAUUGAUAAUUUUGACUGAGAACACAAGUGAACUCUAAUAAUGCUAUGACUAUCAAUAAGUACUUGACUGAAUCAGAGGAGUAAACUAUUUACAUAUUUGUAAAUAUAACAGUUAUAUGUUUGCUUGAUUAUUGAGGCAUUCAAAAUAAAGAAAGUUGAAA
rnacentral:lncRNA from 1 species